rnacentral:rRNA from 1 species
AGUGAACGCUGGCGGUAGGCCUAACACAUGCAAGUCGAACGGCAGCACAGUAAGAGCUUGCUCUUACGGGUGGCGAGUGGCGGACGGGUGAGGAAUACAUCGGAAUCUACUUUUUCGUGGGGGAUAACGUAGGGAAACUUACGCUAAUACCGCAUACGACCUACGGGUGAAAGCAGGGGAUCUUCGGACCUUGCGCGAUUGAAUGAGCCGAUGUCGGAUUAGCUAGUUGGCGGGGUAAAGGCCCACCAAGGCGACGAUCCGUAGCUGGUCUGAGAGGAUGAUAGGCCACACUGGAACUGAGACACGGUCCAGACUCCUACGGGAGGCAGCAGUGGGGAAUAUUGGACAAAGGGCGCAAGCAUGAUCCAGCCAUACCGCGUGGGUGAAGAAGGCCUUCGGGUUGUAAAGACCUUUUGUUGGGAAAGAAAAGCAGCAGGUUAAUACCCCGCUGUUCUGACGGUACCCAAAGAAUAAGCACCGGCUAACUUCGUG